CCUACGGGAGGCAGCAGUGAGGAAUAUUGGUCAAUGGGCGAGAGCCUGAACCAGCCAAGUCGCGUGAAGGAUGACGGAUCUAUGGUUUGUAAACUUCUUUUAUAUGGGAAUAAAGUGAGGAACGUGUUCCUUUUUGUAUGUACCAUAUGAAUAAGCAUCGGCUAACUCCGUGCCCGCCGCCGCGGUAAUACGGAGGAUGCGAGCGUUAUCCGGGUUUAUUGGGUUUAAAGGGUGCGUAGGUGGUUAAUUAAGUCAGCGGGGAAAGUUUGUGGCUCAACCAUAAGAUUGCCGUUGAAACUGGUUGACUUGAGUAUAUGUGAGGUAGGCGGAAUGCGUGGUGUAGCGGUGAAAUGCAUAGAUAUCACGCAGAACUCCGAUUGCGAAGGCAGCUUACUAAACUAUAACUGACACUGAAGCACGAAAGCGUGGGGAUCAAACAGGAUUAGAUACCCUAGUAGUC
rnacentral:rRNA from 1 species